AUGAAGUACCUGUGGGUCUUUUUCUUUAUUGUGGCAGCUCCUAGAAGUGUCCUGUCACAGAUACAACUUCAGGAGUCAGGUCCAGGAUUGGUGAAGCCCUCUGAGGCUCUAUCAGUCACCUGCAAAGUCUCUGGAUUCUCUUUAAGCAGCUAUGGUGCAGGGUGGGUCCGUCAAGCUCCAGGAAAAGGACUGGAAUGGUUUAGUAUAGUAUGGGGUGGUGGAAGUACUAACUACAAUCCAACAUUGCCAUCUCGAGUCAGCAUCACCAAGGACAAUUCCAAGAGUGAAGUUUACUUAAAAUUGAGUUCCUUGACUGACAAAGACACGGCUACAUAUUAUUGUGCAAGACACACACAGUAG